rnacentral:rRNA from 1 species
CGCGAAUUCGCCCUUCGGGGUGCACCAGGCGCGAAAACUUUACAAUGCCGGCAACGGCGAUAAGGGGACCUCGAGUGCCAGGUUACAAAUCUGGCUGUCGUGAUGCCUAAAAAGCAUUGCAUAGCAAGGGCCGGGCAAGACCGGUGCCAGCCGCCGCGGUAACACCGGCGGCUCGAGUGGUAACCGUUAUUAUUGGGUCUAAAGGGUCUGUAGCCGGCCGGAUAAGUCUCUUGGGAAAUCUGGCAGCUUAACUGUCAGGCUUUCAGGAGAUACUGUCUGGCUCGAGGCCGGGAGAGGUGAGAGGUACUUCAGGGGUAGGGGUGAAAUCUUGUAAUCCUUGAAGGACCACCAGUGGCGAAGGCGUCUCACCAGAACGGACCUGACGGCAAGGGACGAAAGCUAGGGGCACGAACCGGAUUAGAUACCCGGGUAGUCCUAGCCGUAAACGAUACUCGCUAGGUGUCGGCCACGGUGCGACCGUGGUCGGUGCCGUAGGGAAGCCGUGAAGCGAGCCACCUGGGAAGUACGGCCGCAAGGCUGAAACUUAAAGGAAUUGGCGGGGGAGCAC